AUACGAAGGUCCCAAGCGUUAUUCGGAAUCACUGGGCGUAAAGAGUACGUAGGCGGUUUGGUAAGUCAGGUGUGAAAUCCCGGAGCUCAACUCCGGAACUGCAUCCGAUACUGCCGGACUUGAGUAAUGGAGAGGCAGGUGGAAUUCUCGGUGUAGCAGUGAAAUGCGUGGAUAUCGAGAGGAAGACCAAUGGCGAAGGCAGCCUGCUGGACAUUUACUGACGCUGAGGUACGAAGGCUAGGGGAGCGAAAGGGAUUAGAUACCCCGGUAGUCC
rnacentral:rRNA from 1 species